GGAUAGCUCGGCGAAAGCCGGAUUAAUACCGCAUACGAUCUACAGAUGAAAGCGGGGGAUCGCAAGACCUCGCGCUAUCGGAGCGGCCGAUAUCUGAUUAGCUAGUUGGUGAGGUAAAGGCUCACCAAGGCGACGAUCAGUAGCUGGUCUGAGAGGAUGAUCAGCCACACUGGGACUGAGACACGGCCCAGACUCCUACGGGAGGCAGCAGUGGGGAAUUUUGGACAAUGGGGGAAACCCUGAUCCAGCCAUUCCGCGUGAGUGAAGAAGGCCUUCGGGUUGUAAAGCUCUUUCGGCCGGAACGAAACGGCCCGUGCUAAUACCACGGGUUACUGACGGUACCGGAAGAAGAAGCACCGGCUAACUACGUGCCAGCAGCCGCGGUAAUACGUAGGGUGCAAGCGUUAAUCGGAAUUACUGGGCGUAAAGCGUGCGUAGGCGGCGGCUUGUGUCAGGUGUGAAAGCCCCGGGCUUAACCUGGGAAUUGCGCUUGAAACUAGGUCGCUAGAGUCUGCCAGAGGGGGGUGGAAUUCCACGUGUAGCAGUGAAAUGCGUAGAGAUGUGGAGGAACACCGAUGGCGAAGGCAGCCCCCUGGGGUAAGACUGACGCUCAGGCACGAAAGCGUGGGAGCAAACA
rnacentral:rRNA from 1 species